rnacentral:hammerhead_ribozyme from 1 species
AUUCAGCUGACGCGUCCCAAAUAGGACGAAUCAAACGUCCUGGAU